CCACCCUUUAAUGUUUGAUGUUCUAACGUGGACCCGUGAUCCGGGUUGCGGACAGUGUCUGGUGGGUAGUUUGACUGGGGCGGUCUCCUCCUAAAGAGUAACGGAGGAGCACGAAGGUUGGCUAAUCCUGGUCGGACAUCAGGAGGUUAGUGCAAUGGCAUAAGCCAGCUUGACUGCGAGCGUGACGGCGCGAGCAGGUGCGAAAGCAGGUCAUAGUGAUCCGGUGGUUCUGAAUGGAAGGGCCAUCGCUCAACGGAUAAAAGGUACUCCGGGGAUAACAGGCUGAUACCGCCCAAGAGUUCAUAUCGACGGCGGUGUUUGGCACCUCGAUGUCGGCUCAUCACAUCCUGGGGCUGAAGUAGGUCCCAAGGGUAUGGCUGUUCGCCAUUUAAAGUGGUACGCGAGCUGGGUUUAGAACGUCGUGAGACAGUUCGGUCCCUAUCUGCCGUGGGCGCUGGAGAACUGAGGGGGGCUGCUCCUAGUACGAGAGGACCGGAGUGGACGCAUCACUGGUGUUCGGG
rnacentral:rRNA from 1 species